rnacentral:rRNA from 1 species
GACGUUACUCGCAGAAGAAGCACCGGCUAACUCCGUGCCAGCAGCCGCGGUAAUACGGAGGGUGCAAGCGUUAAUCGGAAUUACUGGGCGUAAAGCGCACGCAGGCGGUCUGUCAAGUCGGAUGUGAAAUCCCCGGGCUCAACCUGGGAACUGCAUCCGAAACUGGCAGGCUAGAGUCUUGUAGAGGGGGGUAGAAUUCCAGGUGUAGCGGUGAAAUGCGUAGAGAUCUGGAGGAAUACCGGUGGCGAAGGCGGCCCCCUGGACAAAGACUGACGCUCAGGUGCGAAAGCGUGGGGAGCAAACAGGAUUAG